AUUGAACGCUGGCGGCAGGCCUAACACAUGCAAGUCGAACGAGUGGCGGACGGGUGCGUAAUGUCUGGGAAACUGCCCGAUGGAGGGGGAUAACUACUGGAAACGGUAGCUAAUACCGCAUACCAUCGGAUGUGCCCAGAUGGGAUUAGCUUGUAGGUGAGGUAACGGCUCACCUAGGCGACGAUCCCUAGCUGGUCUGAGAGGAUGACCAGCCACACUGGAACUGAGACACGGUCCAGAAUCUUAGGGGAGGCAGAAGUGGGGAAUAGUGCACAAUGGGCGCAAGCCUGAUGCAGCCAUGCCGCGUGUAUGAAGAAGGCCUUCGGGUUGUAAAGUACUUGCAGCGGGGAGGCGUUACCCGAAGAAGAAGUACCGGCGAACUCCGGGCCAGCAGCCGCGGUAAUUC
rnacentral:rRNA from 1 species